rnacentral:rRNA from 1 species
AACGUAGGAGACAAACGUUAUCCGGAGUUACUGGGCGUAAAGGGCGUGCAGGUGGUCUGUUAAGUCUGGCGUGAAAGCUCCUGGCUAAACCGGGAGAGGUCGUUGGAUACUGGCGGACUAGAGGACGGUAGAGGCGUGUGGAAUUCCGGGUGUAGUGGUGAAAUGCGUAGAGAUCCGGAGGAACACCAGUGGCGAAGGCGACACGCUGGGCCGUACCUGACACUGAUACGCGACAGCAUGGGGAGCGAACCGG